AGCUUGUUGCUGUUACUGGUUUGAAUCUGUGGUUUUCAUUAUGUUUUGAAGCUGUGGUUCUGUGUGGUCAGCAAGUUAACAUCGCUUGGUUUUACAAGCCUUCAUCCAAGAUGAAGUGUUGACUGAAGAUGUUAGAGCUUGUUGCUGUUGCUGGUUUGGAUCUAUGGUUUUCAUUAUGUUUUGAAGCUGUGCUUUUGUGUAAUCAGCAAAAGUAUCAACCCCUGUUGGUUUUGCAAGCAGGUUCAUCAGAAAUGAAGUGCGUGACAGAAGAUGUCGGUCUGUAUAUCCAAAGGAAUUUAAAGAAAGCGUAUUUUCUGUGCCUUUACUAUUUUCUGAUUGGAAAAGUGAAGCUAGCUCCUUAGAAGAGUUGAUAUGGUAUUUCUUUUUAGAAGUAUUUUCUCAGGAAAACGUUGUAGCAAGCGACUGAUAUCUAGUCUCGAACUGUGUUGUUCAUGUGCUUUCUGGCAUUCUGAGGUAAUUCAUUUGGUUUUCAUCUAAAGACUGUAUAAUUUUCUGCACUUUUAUUAUGUGGUAGAAUUUUCUCAGACAUCCAGUGAUCUUGCACAUUUAUAAAGUAUCGUUGUCCUGUUGGAUCAUAUUAUUAGCUAUAGUUUUUUUCGUAAAAUUUAUUUUAAUUUUAGCAAUAGGUUUUUGAUAUCUGUGAGCAUAUUUAAAAUCUCUCCUUGCAGGGCAUGAAUAAUUGUCUGCCUCCAAACUGGAGCGUUUCUCAUGUUUGUAAGAAUGUUGACAAUUAACAGUUUUUACGCAGGCAGUCUGCUGUUGCGAAUCUGCCGGUUCGGCAGUGUCUAAUUAGAAGAUUGUCUCUCUAUUAUAGAGAUACAGUUUGGAGAGAGCGUCAAUUUCACUGAUAAUUUGGUUUCAGAUGGGCUUUGUAUUUAUUAGUAGAAG
rnacentral:lncRNA from 1 species